UUGUCUCAAAGAUUAAGCCAUGCAUGUCUCAGUACAAGCCAUAUUAAGGUGAAACCGCGAAAGGCUCAUUAAAUCAGUUAUGGUUCCUUAGAUCGUACCCACAUUUACUUGGAUAACUGUGGUAAUUCUAGAGCUAAUACAUGCAAACAGAGCUCCGACCGGAGACGGAAGGAGCGCUUUUAUUAGAUCAAAACCAAUCGGUGGCGGGUUUUCGCUCGUCAUCGUACAACUUGGUGACUCUGAAUAACUUUACGCUGAUCGCAUGGUCUAGCACCGGCGACGCAUCUUUCAAAUGUCUGCCUUAUCAACUGUCGAUGGUAGGUUCUGCGCCUACCAUGGUUGUAACGGGUAACGGGGAAUCAGGGUUCGAUUCCGGAGAGGGAGCCUGAGAAACGGCUACCACAUCCAAGGAAGGCAGCAGGCGCGCAAAUUACCCACUCCCGGCACGGGGAGGUAGUGACGAAAAAUAACGAUACGGGACUCUUCCGAGGCCCCGUAAUCGGAAUGAGUACACUCUAAACCCUUUAACGAGGAUCAAUUGGAGGGCAAGUCUGGUGCCAGCAGCCGCGGUAAUUCCAGCUCCAAUAGCGUAUAUUAAAGUUGUUGCGGUUAAAAAGCUCGUAGUCGAAUUUGUGUCCCGCGCCGCCGGUUCAUCGCACGCGGUGUUAACUGGCGUGCCGCGGGACGUCCUGCCGGUGGACUUAGCCUUUGCGGGCGGUCCAACUCAAUCCCAUCACGGUGCUCUUUAUCGAGUGUCGAGGUGGGCCGGCACGUUUACUUUGAACAAAUUAGAGUGCUCAAAGCAGGCUAAAACUUCGCCUGAAUACGUGUGCAUGGAAUAAUGGAAUAGGAUCUCGGUUCUAUUUUGUUGGUUUUCGGAACCCCGAGGUAAUGAUUAAUAGGAACGGAUGGGGGCAUUCGUAUUGCGACGUUAGAGGUGAAAUUCUUGGAUCGUCGCAAGACGAACAGAAGCGAAAGCAUUUGCCAAAAACGCUUUCAUUGAUCAAGAACGAAAGUUAGAGGUUCGAAGGCGAUCAGAUACCGCCCUAGUUCUAACCAUAAACGAUGCCAGCUAGCGAUCCGCCGACGUUCCUCCGAUGACUCGGCGGGCAGCUUCCGGGAAACCAAAGCUUUUGGGUUCCGGGGGAAGUAUGGUUGCAAAGCUGAAACUUAAAGGAAUUGACGGAAGGGCACCACCAGGAGUGGAGCCUGCGGCUUAAUUUGACUCAACACGGGAAACCUCACCAGGCCCGGACACCGGAAGGAUUGACAGAUUGAGAGCUCUUUCUUGAUUCGGUGGGUGGUGGUGCAUGGCCGU
rnacentral:rRNA from 1 species